UGUGCCGCGCCUGCGCACAAUGUCCUACCUUCUCCCCAGCCGGCCGCUCGAGAACGCGCACGCAUGGCUGUUUUACAAGCUGGGGAGGCGUGUCCUGCAUGCUGGAGAUAGUGCCGGGGAGAGAGACUGUCUGCCUGCUACGCUGCUGUCCUGCAGAUUCUAGAGGAGGGAGGAGGGCCCUGGAAGAUCACGGUGGCAGAGGGACCUUGUUCCAGAUCCAGUGGACAUCACUCCGACACGCCAGCGACACCCUAGAUGAGGCAAAUACGGUGGGGCUUCCACAUGGGUGCCGGAGGGGAGCAGGUGUUUAAAAGGUGAUCUCCCUGGCUGAUCAGUGCUCACUGUUGUCUCUACAACCUGGGAGUAUGGUGGUUCAGAUUCACUAAGUUUGUUCCAUGCAUGAACUCUGUGUGUCUCCAUCUAGUGAAUGCCUCUGGAAACCUCGUCUCUGCUCUACAGUUGCACCGUGUGUGGCCUCGGAUCGGACCUUGGAUACUUCACCGUCUCAUCCUUAGAUAUUUGGUUUCACAGACUCUUCUGUAUGAACUUUAGCCUGGUCUGGCUUUUAUCUGACGUUUUCCCACAGAGGUUAUUAUUUGAACUAUGUUAUUUCUGUAUGAUUUCUGGCUUGGACUUUACUGCUGUGUUUUCAAUAAAUCCACGUUUGUUCAGAUCUCUGCCUGGUUGCUUGGGGUUUUGCAGCAUUACAGAACAGUGAGCCCCAACUUCCAGUUAUUAUGGAUCGUAUCCAACAGCAGCUAGUGGAAUUGACCGGAGCAGUGAAUCUCUUGGUCCAACACAGGAUAAACAUCUCUGCUGUGAAUAUUAAUAAGAUCCAUGCACAACUGGCAACAGUCGGGGACGAGCUUAAAAUCCUCCUCCAGGGAGGCCAGGGUUUGCCUGACCCGACUUCAGCAGAACGCCUAGUGGAACCCAAGAUACCCCUACCUGAGGUUUUUUCAGGUAAUAGGCAGGAGUUUCUCAACUUCCGUGACUCCUGCCGCUUGAACUUUGAACUGCGCCCUGUAUCAUCGGGUAAUACCAAACAAAGAAUCGGCAUAGUGAUGUCUCUAUUUAGGAAGGACCCGCAACUCUGGGCUUUUAACCUCCAGACAGGGGGUCCCGCAUUUGACUGAGUAGAGGCCUUCUUUCAUGCUAUGGAGGUUUUGUAUGACGACCCAGAUCGUACUCAAACUGCUAAGACUCAACUGGAACACCUCCAACAAGGUCGACGCACAGCAGAAGAAUUUGCUGCAGAGUUACGUCAAAAAUAUAUAUUUUUUUAAUGUAAUCUACUGUGAUGACACCAGAUAUGAGUUGCGCUGGUGACACUAUGCGCUUGCAGGGCCUGAAACACAAACGCGUGCAGGCAACUGAC